GAUGAGUAGGGCGGGACACGUGGUAUCCUGUCUGAAUAUGGGGGGACCAUCCUCCAAGGCUAAAUACUCCUGACUGACCGAUAGUGAACCAGUACCGUGAGGGAAAGGCGAAAAGAACCCCGGCGAGGGGAGUGAAAAAGAACCUGAAACCGUGUACGUACAAGCAGUGGGAGCCUCUUAAUGGGGUGACUGCGUACCUUUUGUAUAAUGGGUCAGCGACUUAUAUUCUGUAGCAAGGUUAACCGAAUAGGGGAGCCGAAGGGAAACCGAGUCUUAACUGGGCGUUAAGUUGCAGGGUAUAGACCCGAAACCCGGUGAUCUAGCCAUGGGCAGGUUGAAGGUUGGGUAACACUAACUGGAGGACCGAACCGACUAAUGUUGAAAAAUUAGCGGAUGACUUGUGGCUGGGGGUGAAAGGCCAAUCAAACCGGGAGAUAGCUGGUUCUCCCCGAAAGCUAUUUAGGUAGCGCCUCGUGAAUUCAUCUCCGGGGGUAGAGCACUGUUUCGGCAAGGGGGUCAUCCCGACUUACCAACCCGAUGCAAACUGCGAAUACCGGAGAAUGUUAUCACGGGAGACACACGGCGGGUGCUAACGUCCGUCGUGAAGAGGGAAACAACCCAGACCGCCAGCUAAGGUCCCAAAGUCAUGGUUAAGUGGGAAACGAUGUGGGAAGGCCCAGACAGCCAGGAUGUUGGCUUAGAAGCAGCCAUCAUUUAAAGAAAGCGUAAUAGCUCACUGGUCGAGUCGGCCUGCGCGGAAGAUGUAACGGGGCUAAACCAUGCACCGAAGCUGCGGCAGCGACACUAUGUGUUGUUGGGUAGGGGAGCG
rnacentral:rRNA from 1 species